UGGGGAGGGGAUGGGUGGGCUGUGCAGGCCCCCAUGGGCUGCCGGGAGGACUUGGGCUUUGGCCCCAGGGAGGUGGGAGCCCUAGAAGGCUCUGUGUGGCAGGGACGCACUGCUUGCUCUCGAGUCCCUGCUGCAGGAGGUGGAUGGUCCAGGAGCCAGACCUGAUGGUGAGGCAGAGCCAAAGGCAGUGACCAGCAGGGAGAGGGAGGAGGCUCCUGAGAGCAAACAGCCACAUCUCCGAGAGCACUGUGUCCUGGGGUUCAUGUGUGACCACCCUGAAGACCAAGUUGGCCUGCAAGUGCCAGAAAAGGCACAGAAGAGGAGCCCCCAGAAUGAUUCAGAUGGUGCCGACAGCUGCAAAGGAUACCAGGAAAUGUCUUCCUUCCUCUCCCUGGUGACCAUGUGUCCAGAUAAAAAUUGUAGAGUCCAAUUGUUAUAGAGCAUGGGACAUGAAGGGCUGUUGGGAGACCCCACCAGAAACGGGUGACCUCGGGGCCACAUCUUAGAUUUCAAGCCAGCACAUCUGAGAAACUCUGCCCCAACUGUGACGGCUUUCACGGAUCCCCAGGGUGCAGGCCUGGCUCAGCUAAGCCCAAGGUUCAGGUCAGUGCCCACAGGCUGGGCCCCCUGCAGCCCCCUAUCCUGCCUCACCCCUGCCUGUCGAGGACCCAGGGCAAUUCAUCUCCUUCUCCUCCAUAAACAACUGUCAGGG
ensembl:lncRNA